rnacentral:lncRNA from 1 species
AGUGCACGCUCGGGCUUCCUGGUGCGCCCGGAGCCUGCCUCGCGUGCCGACCCCGCCGCGUAAUCCGGCGAGGCAUCCCAGAUUCCGCCCGGCUCCAGACGCCCUCCACCGACUUUAGUUCGAGCAGACUCAUUUGGAAGCAGUGCAUUUUUAUCAGAGGGACUGAAAAGCCUUUCGAGAAUCAGUCAAGAAAAAGGAAUGCGCAUGAGAGUCAUGGUCACAUCAUGUGAUUGUAGGGAAAGCCUAGGCUAUCAUGGAGGGAAGAGAUUGGAUAAAUUAUUUGAAAAGCAAGCCUGUGAAUUGCUGUGGAGGAACAAUAGCCUGUCUCUUAUCUGGAGCCUUUCCAAGGAAAAGCAAAGGGGACCCUAGAAGGCUUCCUGGGAGACAGUUUAAUUCUGAAAACAAAGCAGUACUUCACCUCUUGUGUGUUGGGUAGAGCUGUAAAACAGAACACAGUCAAAAUAGUCAUUAGGGCCACAUCAAUGUCUGCCCAAAGUCAGGCGAGCAUUCCCAGGAAGGUGGGGGGCUGUGGCAGUUGCACACAUCAACCUCCUUUCUCCAUUGUCACACAGCAGAAGAGCGUGUUCCAUUCUACUAAAGUUGGGGCGGGGGGAGUUGAAUAAUUUAUUGACUGAAAACUGGGGGCCUGAGUUAGAUGGUAAAAAAGUUUAGAGUGCUGUUUUUUGUUUUUUAAGUUAUGUUUGUUUUAUAUAUUGAAGUGCUUAAAAUGUAUUUUAAAAAUUCAAAACAUCCCAGAAAUUCAGCAACUUGAGGAGACAAUAGUGACGAACAUUUUAUGGCAACAUUUGGACACUUUAAAGAUUAUUUCAGGAACUUUAAUGCUGAUAAAUGAGAGAAGGGACAACUUUUCCUAACUAUAACAUUUCGGCACCUGAGUACAGGGAUCAAAACAAGAGCAAGCAUUUCAAAUUCAUAUUGUGAAGCACCUACAAAAAGAUUAUUCUGUUAGCCUUCAUAAUGUGGAGAGUUCAUCUUUUCAUCUUAUCAAAUAAAAAUAUACCCAAAUUCUUGAACAGGCAUUCAGUUAGGAAAAGAGGGUGGGGUGAUGAAAUGUGUUCUCAUUCAGCAAACACUUUGCAGAUAUUUCUAGUCAAAGAUCCCUGUGGUCUAGGCUAGUGAGAGAAAAACGUGCCCUCUGCCCAGUGACAGCGGCUGCACGGGGAUCAGCUUUCACCAAUGCAGGCAGGGGAACAAAGGGCAGGCUUCAUCUGCCUGCAUCCCACAGGCCCUUGCGCAGGGGAGUUCCAUUUCAGUGCCCAUCACAUGACCUCUCAGGCCAAAACGGUUUUUAAUAAUUCUGAUUUUGAAUAUCAAAUGGAAGUGAAAAGUACAUUUAGGAAGGAAGGGCUCUAUCCUUAUUGAAGAACAUGCUCUAUGCAAACAGGUUGGACAGGCACUAGCUCUUGUAGAGCUAUGGUUCUCAGCUUUGGCAACACACUGGAUCACCUCCUCUAAAAGGUACUGAUGCCUGCUUUCCUCCCUCUUCUGCCCCUAAAGAAAGUAGAAUUUAAUUUUAAGCUCUAGGGUGUGGCCUGGGCAUCAGGACUUUUUUUUUUUUUUUGACAGAGUCUCACUGUGUCACCUAGGCUAGAGUGCAGUGUGCAGUCUUGGCUCACUGCAGCCUCAAUCUCCCAGAUUCAAGAGAUCCUCCUGCCUCAGCCCCCUAAGUAACUAGGAUUACAGGCACGCACCACCACACCAGGCUAAUUUUUGUAUUUUUUGUGGAGACGGUCUUUCACUGUGUUGCCCAAGCUGGUCUUGAACUCCUGAGCUCAGGUGAUCCACCUGCCUCAGCCUCCCAAAGUGCUGGGAUUACAGGCAUAAGCCACAGCCCCUGGCCGGCAUCAGGAUUUUUAAAAGCUCCCAAGUGCAGUCAAGGUUGAGAACAGCUGCUAUAGUGUGACUUAAUACAGCAUUCAAAGCCUCUCAUAAUCUAGCCUCAGCCUAAUUUUUCCUUCCAGCACCCCAUCUCAGCCUGUACAUAAGCCACAGAGACAUUCUCACUGUUCUCUGAAUGUACUUGGCUCAUUCAUAUUUCCAGGCUUUCUUGCACACACAUUGUCUGACUCUGGGCACCUAAGGAAAGCUCAGCUCCAAUGUCCUCUCCUCUUCCGUGAAACCUUUCCUGUCAAGCCCACCUUCACUACUAAGUCACUCCUUGCUCCUAGAUCAGAUGGAAGAAUGCUUUGGCAUAUCUCUACUGGAGCCCUUCUCACUUUACAUUAAAGAUAACUGUAUAUAGGUUAGCCCACUCCUCCUCCCUAAUAGCAUGUGGACCCUUUGUAGUUUCAGCAGUAAGCACAGGGCUUGGUUUCUAUGAAUACUUAUUGAGUGAAUGGAUGAAUGAAUGCCAAUCUUGUACAUUGUUGAUGUUCACCACAUUGAACCCAGUUCUCAAACCAGGAUCACUUGGGAGAUUCUGAGUCAAUAAUUUGAAGGUCUGUAUCAUUCCUACUCAAAGUGUGGUCCAUAAGCCAGCAGUGGCUAUAUUAUCUGGGAGCUUGUUGCAAAUGCAGAAUAUGUAUUUUAACAAGAUCCCCAGGCAAUUCAUAUGCACAUUACACUUUGAGCUAUAUUUUUAACAAGCUCCCAGGUGAUUCCUUUGUAGCCCGGCUGCUGACCUGCAUUUCGUAACCACUGUUCUAGACCUUCAUUUGCUGAAUGGAGUGGUCCCUGUGUGAUUGCCUACAGGUUUCUUCUAGUCUCCCAUUUUUCUUCCUAGUUAACAAAGCCCAAAUUUUGUUUGGAAGGGUGAUCAGCCCUUCACCCAUCAGGCCUUUGCCUCAGGGAAGCUUGACCCCACCUUUAGACCCCAUGUUGGGCCUGAGUAGUCCAAAGGCAUAUCCCAUUCCCCUGGCCAGGGAUUAGUUUAGGGAUAGACAUGUGACCAAAUUCAGCUCAAUAAAAUGUGAGUCUGCAGGGGCAAUCUAGAAAAAGUGUCCUCUUCCCUAAGAGAAAGCCACAGGAGGGUAAAAAAAUGUCUCAGAACAUUGUCCUGCCUAAACAUGAUGCCUCGGACAUUCUGCUUCUGUCUUGCUACCUGCAGCACAAGGAAAUCCAACACUGAGGGGUCACAGCAGAGGGACGGAAAGCACCUGGAUCUUACAACAUUGUUGAGCUCUUUUGUCUCUUGACUUCUAGUUAUGAGAUGUAAUUUUCUUACUGUUAAAGUCAUUUCUGUUCCUUGCAACCAAAAGCAUUCAUUGAUACACUGAAUAUAGUACAAUAUUUAUUCAAUCAAUAAAUGCCUGGCAAAUUACCCAA